rnacentral:rRNA from 1 species
UCAAGCUACAAAGGGCACGGGGUGGAUGCCUUGGCGCCAAGAGCCGAUGAAGGACGUGGCAGGCUGCGUAAAGCUUCGGGGAGUCGCGAGCAGACGUUGAUCCGGAGAUGUCCGAAUGGGGAAACCCGGCUGGGGUAACGCCCAGUCACCCCUGGUUGAAUCAAAUAGGCCAGGUGGAGGUAAGCCAGCGAACUGAAACAUCUCAGUAGCUGGAGGAAAAGAGAUCAUUCCCUGAGUAGUGGCGAGCGAAACGGGAACAGCCCAAACUCACCCAGCGCGAUAGGUAGCAGCCGUUUCUGGGUGGGGGUUGAAGGAGCAGAUCAUCGGGUCCCUGCAUGGACCCGGCGGAGUUACCAAAUCGAUCGUUAGUCGAACCCGUCAGGAAGGUCGGGCCAGAGAGGGUGACAGCCCCGUAGACGAAAGCGAUCGAUCUUCGUGAUCAGCCACCUGAGUACCGCGUGGAAGGUCUCUCAUGCGGGAAACUGGGCGGACCACCGUCCAAGGCUAAAUACUCUUGGCGACCGAUAGCGAACAAGUACCGUGAGGGAAAGGUGAAAAGCACCCCGGAAGGGGAGUGAAAUAGUACCUGAAACCUCGUGCCUACAAGCAGUCAGAGGGUGUUGCCGGCUUGCCGGUAGCCUGAUGGCGUGCCUUUUGAAGAAUGAGCCGACGAGUUACGUGCACGUGGCGAGGUUAAGUCCGCGAAGGACGGAGCCGGAGCGAAAGCGAGUCUGAACAGGGCGUUCAGUCGCGUGCAGUAGACCCGAAACCGAGUGACCUAUCCAUGGCCAGGUUGAAGCGGGAGUAAUGUCCCGUGGAGGACCGAACUCACUAGCGUUGAAAAGCUAGGGGAUGAGCUGUGGAUAGCGGUGAAAUGCCAAUCGAACUCGGAGAUAGCUGGUUCUCCCCGAAAUAGCUUUAGGGCUAGCCUCGGGCGUUCAAUCUUGGGGGUAGAGCACUGGAUGGGCUAGGGGGCUUCCCGCUUACCAACCCCAACCAAACUCCGAAUCCCAAGAUUUCAGAGCCCGGGAGUCAGACUGCGAGGGCUAAGCUUCGUGGUCAAAAGGAAAACAGUCCGGACCGUCAGCUAAGGUCCCUAAAUCCAGGCUAAGUGGUAAAGGAUGUGGGUUCGCAUAGACAACCAGGAUGUUGGCUCAGAAGCAGCCAUCAUUGAAAGAGUGCGUAACAGCUCACUGGUCAAGUGGAUCCGCGCCGAAAAUUCAACGGGGCUCAAGCUUGGUACCGAAGCUACGGAUCCGCCGGCGGCUUGCCGUCGGUGGGUGGUAGGGGAGCGUUCCGUCAGCAGUGAAGGUCGACCGUGAGGACGGCUGGAGCGGACGGAAGUGCGAAUGUCGGCAUGAGUAGCGAAAUGUGGGUGAGAAUCCCACACGCCGUAUGCCUAAGGUUUCCUGAGCAAGGCUCGUCCGCUCAGGGUUAGUCGGGCCUAAGCCGAGGACGAACGUCGUAGGCGAUGGACAUCCGGUUGAUAUUCCGGAACCGACCAGAGGUCGUUUGCACCGCAAGGUGUCGCCUGGAGGACGCGAACGGGGGAUUGCCGGCGCAAGCCGGAGGAACCCGCUAGCCGAUCCCAGGUGGGAGCAAGGGCGUGACCCAGUCUGGAAGCUCGUGUGCGUUUUGGCUAUACGCAUCCAAGCCGGUAGGGGGAGAGGACAGGCAAAUCCGUCCUCUCAUUCAACCCCGAGCAGCGAGUGUAAGGGACUUCUGUCCCGUUUCGAGUGAGCCAUGCUGGCAAGAAAAGUGUCUAGCGAGACCAACGGUGUCCGUACCGCAAUCCGACACAGGUAGGCGGGUAGAGAAUACCAAGGCGAUCGGGAGAACCCUCGUUAAGGAACUCGGCAACAUGGCCCCGUAACUUCGGGAGAAGGGGCGCUUCGCGUCCGCUGACUUGUCAGUGGCCGAUCGAAGCCGCAGUGAAAAGGCCCAGGCGACUGUUUAGCAAAAACACAGGUCUCUGCGAAAGCGAAAGCUGACGUAUAGGGGCUGACGCCUGCCCAGUGCCGGAAGGUUAAGAGGAGAGGUGCAAGCUUUGAAUCGAAGCCCCGGUAAACGGCGGCCGUAACUAUAACGGUCCUAAGGUAGCGAAAUUCCUUGUCGGGUAAGUUCCGACCCG